rnacentral:ncRNA from 1 species
AUUUUUGGGGCGGGGUGAAAUUCCCCACCGGCGGUGAAAGUCCGCGACCUGCAUAUUUCAUAUGCGGCUGAAUCGGUGAAAUUCCGAUACCGACGGUAUAGUCCGGAUGAGAGAAAAUG